rnacentral:rRNA from 3 species
GGCCCAGAUCGUUUACCGUGAAAAAAUUAGAGUGUUCAAAGCAGGCAGAUCCAAUUUUCUGCCACCGAAUACAUUAGCAUGGGAUAAUGGAAUAGGACCCUGUCCUCCUAUUUUCAGUUGGUUUUGGCAGCGCGAGGACUAGGGUAAUGAUUAAUAGGGAUAGUUGGGGGCAUUAAUAUUUAAUUGUCAGAGGUGAAAUUCUUGGAUUUAUGAAAGAUUAACUUCUGCGAAAGCAUCUGCCAAGGAUGUUUUCAUUAAUCAAGAACGAAAGUUAGGGGAUCGAAGACGAUCAGAUACCGUCGUAGUCUUAACCAUAAACGAUGCCGACCAGCGAUUAGGAGACGUUGAAUACAAAACACCACCAUCGGCGCGGUCGUCCUUGGCGUCUCGGUUUCGGCCGGGGCGCGGGGACGGCUUAGCCCGGUGGCACCGGUGAAUGACUCCCCUAGCAGCUUGUGAGA